GACGAACGCUGGCGGCGUGCUUAACACAUGCAAGUCGAACGGAAAGGCCCUGCUGGUGUGGGGUGCUCGAGUGGCGAACGGGUAAGUAACACGUGAGUAACCUGCCCUUGACUUUGGGAUAACUUCAGGAAACGGGGGCUAAUACGGAUAGGAGCUGCUGCUGCAUGGGGGGGGUUGGAAAGUUUCGGCGGUUGGGGAUGGACUCGCGGCUUAUCAGCUUGUUGGUGGGGUAGAGGCUUACCAAGGCUGUGACGGGUAGCCGGCCUGAGAGGGUGACCGGCCACAUUGGGACUGAGAUACGGCCCAGACUCCUACGGGAGGCAGCAGUGGGGAAUAUUGCACAAUGGGCGGAAGCCUGAUGCAGCAACGCCGCGUGCGGGAUGACGGCCUUCGGGUUGUAAACCGCUUUCGCCUGUGACGAAGCGUGAGUGACGGUAAUGGGUAAAGAAGCACCGGCUAACUACGUG
rnacentral:rRNA from 1 species